CCCCAGGAGGCCUGUGAGUGUUGCUCUCUCCUUCUAGUGAGUGAAAACGUUCACCAAGCCAGGAUGCUGGAUGAUAACACGGACUGGGGGCCAGAGAAAGUCCAAGAUUUAGGAAGCUGGACAACAGAUGGACAGAUCCCAGAAGCCCUUGCUCUCCCCACCCUCCAGCAGCCAUAAGGCAGGAACCCUGGCUGUCUAGCUCUUCUCUGUCUAGUCCUCAUCGCUGAAACCAGGCCUGGCUCAGGAGAUACUGGAGAAAUGUUUUUGACUGCAGUCACAAAUGAAAUAGAAAAAAAGAAGCAAUGUUAAAGGUAAAUGUGACCCAGAAGGCAGAGAAUCUCGGGACCCUUGGCUCAUGCUUCUCCGUCUAUGUUUGCUCCGUACACAUACUUGGCCUUUUCAUUUUGUUUGUGUGAUGGUUAAGCAGACAGAGUUGAUGAGUUCCGGGAUGAUAAAGAUUAGGUUUUGCAAUCCCAUCUUUUGCAGGAGACUUCCGCCCCUAUCUAGGUUUUCAAAAUCUAACUAAAUGUUAAAUGCAUACAAAAGAAUAAUCACAUGAGCAAAAUGUAAAAAUCGGACAUCCAACUACUUACAGCCCAGCUUAGGUAGAGGUUACAACUCGAGUACCACCAAAGCCCCACUGGGUCCCUCUCCUCCUCCCUCUCCCCAACCUGGCCCCCUCCCAAAUUUCUGUUCAUCAUUCCCUUACUUUUCUUUAUAAUUUUACCCUAAAAAUACCCUUUCCUGAAUAAUAUGGUUGUUGUGCAUGCUUUUGAACUCGAUAUAAAA